GUAGGGGGCAAGCGUUGUCCGGAUUUAUUGGGCGUAAAGAGCGUGUAGGCGGCCAGGUAGGUGGGUUGUGAAAACUGGAGGCUCAACCUUCAGACGUCGACCCAAACCCCCUGGCUAGAGUCCGGAAGAGGAGAGUGGAAUUCCUGGUGUAGCGGUGAAAUGCGCAGAUAUCAGGAAGAACACCCGUGGCGAAGGCGGCUCUCUGGAACGGUACUGACGCUGAGACGCGAAAGCGCGGGGAGCGAACAGGAUUAGAUACCCUGGUAGUCCACGCCGUAAACGAUGGGUGCUAGGUGGUGGGGGGUGUCAACUCCCUCCGUGCCGAAGCUAACGCAUUAAGCACCCCGCCUGGGGAGUACGGCCGCAAGGCUA
rnacentral:rRNA from 1 species